GCCAGAAGAAAAAAAUAUUCAAUUUGUCUCUCAAUUAAACUUUAACUAAAAUGUACUUCAAGUUUUCUAUUUUGUUAAUAUCUUUUAUCCUAGCUGCUAAUACCACACUAAAAAAAGAAGAAAUUCUAGAAGAAGCUUACAAAUUGGCUAAAGAAAAUUAACACGUUGCUGAUGGAAGCGGUCUUAUAAUGGAGCAUUUGGUGAACAUUGUGGGUAUCCAGCAUAAAAACAAAACACAACACUAUUUCGAAUUAAAUUACACUUUACCAGAAGAACGAAGACUUAAAAAUCGUAAUUAUUAAUUUCCGAGACCAUCAGAAAAGUCUUAUGUUAAAUGGAUCAUCCUGUAUGCCAAAUAUAUACCCAAGUUAAUGGCACAAAAAGAACAGAACAGGAACUUAAAUUAUCUACAUUUUUAGAUGUUUUACUCAAUUUUGAAAUAGAGUUUUAAAAUUGUUUGCAAAAAUGUGUGAAACAAAACUAUUAUCCGAUUAAAAAAAUUAAUUAUAAUAACUACCAAAACUAAAAU